AGCCUGUAGUAGUGCCUCGCAACCUUUGUCGCCCACGGUCAACGCCUGAAAUCAAGGAAUAUCGUUGCGUCACUGGGUACAGUAGUUGGUAUACGGUCGGACGGCGGAUGGCGGACCACGGAGAGAGCCACAACUAUUUAAUUUUUGGACACGUCUUUGAAACUUCAAAGAGCGGAAAAUUAUGAAGCUGUUAAACAUUUUGAGUGUAACGAUCGAUCGACACCGGGCGAUUUCGUAAAGAACGCAGUGUAUACCCUUAUUAAACUAAUGGGACUCGAGUUUCGAAACCGUGUCACGUUUCGACACCACGAGACGAACGGGCGGAUGUACAAAGUUUCAAAAGUAACCAAGAUUUCGUGUACCUGCUCCUUUAUCGACCUAUUUUGUAAAGACACAUUGUUUGUCAUUAUCUUUGAUCCGUCGCGUCGCGUCGUAGUAGCAGAGCACAUGUUAUCACGUUGAAUCAGAUAAAGUCAAUUUCAUUCAA